UUAAAAAUAUAUCAUGUAGUAGAACUGCAUAAGUGUUGCUCUCCACUUUUGAAAUCAGUGGAAUUAGAGUAUGAUAGCAAAGGAAAUUGAACAUUCUGCCGUUUGAUUGCAAAUAUGCAGACGGAGUCGAAAAGAGAACACACAGAAGACUGUUGUAAUCUGGACACAAGUGUUUUAUACAUCUUCAAACUAAGGGCAACCAUGGUAUCUGUGACAGAGAGGGAGAAGUGUCCAUCCAUGUUUACAGAAUGCACAGCCAACAACUAUGGUUUGCAUGCCCUGCCAAAAGGACCCUUAUUGCACAGCCAACAACUAUGGCCUGCCCUGCCGAAGAACCCUAUCAUGCAGAAUAAGUGGAUGGAGUUCGUUGGUUCCCAGUGGUGACAAAGUGUACAGUUGGGUGCCAGACUGAUGCCCUUGGUUUGAGCGGAUCCUGGGACCUACAAGAAGGAACAAAGCGUGUCAGGCAAGACCUCAGAAUAAAAUUGUGUAAUGCGACAGAAGUACCCUUGUGACACUUCCUCCGUUGUUGCCAGAGUCUCCUUCGACUCCUAUGAAAAGGAGUUACUGCCCUGAUGACACAGAUGGCUUCAUCAACAACGAUAGGCCCUCCCAGUCAACAUCACCUCAUAAUAUUGCCUGCUGCAGUUGUGGAGACGUCCAGUUUGCAGCAGAACAUGCAGCAUAGAGAAGACCAACAAGGUGUUCCUCAUCGGCCUCAUGCAGACAUGCCCUCGUUGUGAGCAUUCCUAUGAAUGGAACGGUCAGCCACAUGUUGGCAAGUAUAUGGCCAGCAACCUGCACCUGUCAGCAGCAACAGCUUUCACAGGCUCCUCAUUUGUACAAAUACAGAAGAUGCAUAUAAUAUCCAGGGCAUAACCUAGCCUAGUGGAACCAGCCUGAUCGCUGUGUUCACCA